UACGGAGGGUGCGAGCGUUAAUCGGAAUUACUGGGCGUAAAGGGCGUGUAGGUGGUUUCGUAAGUCUGGCGUGAAAUUUCUCGGCUUAACCGAGGCAGGUCGUCGGAUACUGCGGAACUAGAGGACGGUAGAGGCGUGUGGAAUUCCGGGUGUAGUGGUGAAAUGCGUAGAGAUCCGGAGGAACACCAGUGGCGAAGGCGACACGCUGGGCCGUACCUGACACUGAGGCGCGAUAGCAUGGGGAGCAAACAGG
rnacentral:rRNA from 1 species